CUAUUAUUGCUACCAAGAGCAGUUUAGCAACUCCACACAGCAUGGAGCCCUGCCUGCCAGAGUGGUGGGUGAAUAUUCACUCAGGAAGUUCCUACUGAGCUCCCUGUUGCUCCAGCUAGUUUUUUCUAUAGCACUUACAGUUCCUGAGGCCAGAGAAGAACUCUUCAGUGAGCUUGGUUUCAACAGCAUGCCUGUUCCCCUUGCUGUCUUCUAAUAAAAUUAUUUUGGUGGGAGAUAAUCCAAAGAGCUAUUCCUCAAUCUGUCCCAGAAAAGUGGACCUAGGAUCUGGAAUCUCUCAUUAUCUUUGAUACUCUAUUUUGCUGGAGUUCAGAACUCUGGAGGAAACUUUGCUACAGCCCUUUUUAGCAGGUUUCGACAUCCAGCAGUAACUGGGCAUAUUGACUCUGCUCUGUGCCUCCUGCUUGCCUUGAAACUCCUCAUGCUAGCUUGACCUUGCCACAGGUCAGCUCCACAGCUGUAGCAAGGCAUCCUGUGGUCAUGUAACACUUGCAUUUUUUUUAUCUCCUUACCACUGCAGAUAGUUGUAUUAUAAAUACACAAAUACCAAUAAAGUUAGGGUUUUUU